rnacentral:lncRNA from 1 species
UUGCGAUUGUGUUUUUCUCAAGAUACUUUCCUUUGUCGGCAGAAUUUGAGACACAACAUUAAUUGCAAGUUUGGUAGUAAGCAAUUAAAUACGAUUAACUUUCAUUAAUUCAUGUAUUGCCUAUAAUCUGAGUCUGCGGGGCGUAAAAAUACAGCGACCUUGGUCGUUGCGGAUUAUCGGUUUUGUACAAUACCUGUCACCAAGGUGAUCUAGCAAGGUGUCAGCGAUAUGACAAAAUUCUGUGUACAUAUCAGUCGCCGAUGCACUUCAUGACAAAUGGAAGACCGCUGUAUUUAUUUUCAAUUAUAUUUUCUAGCCUUUUCAAAAAUAUACGAGUUCGGCAUUUCCCCGCUCUUCGAAAUAUUGAGGCGGCGGGUGCCGCCCCUGCCGCCCCAGCUCCUACGCCCUUGAUUAUGCUUCUGAAGCAACAGUUUAUUUAAUACUUAAUUAUUGCAUUUUUCAAUUCUUUAUUUCUUGUAAUAAGUACUAAAAUGAUAGAUAAAUCACUUUGAACCUCUGACUUACAACAGAGUCUAUAAACAUUUUCAGAUGAAAGAGUGUGCAUAUCUGGUUAUUAGAAGUAUGCCUUCAACACAUAUGUAUGAAUUGAUGUAGUCAGAGAAAUCAGAUGGCUUCAGUGACUAUGCUAUGUACAGGAUGAUGUGAGAUCACAGACAGAAAUUCCAUCAAACAUAAAUUACAGAAUAUUUCAACUAAAUUAAAUGGCUGGAAUGAAGUUCCUGACCCAGGUGAUGGUUUUGGAAAAGCAAAGAGACAUUCUGAUGCCACCUUAUAUUGAGCCUACAAUACUCCAAAAAUGAUUUUGUUGUAUUCAUAACUUUCCACCAAAUAAUUUUUAUAUUUAAUAUAUCUUUUAGUUUAAUUUUUAAGUUUAAGCUAAGUGAAUUUUGUAUUAUUCUUAACCAUAGAUGUAAAAGCUGCUGACAGAUGUGUUAUUCCCUUUUGAAUUUUAUGCUUUUUGUGUUUUGUGAAGCCCAGAUCUGUCACAAUAUUAUUAAUAAUUAAAAUUAUUAUUAUUAUAUUAAAAUAAUUUUGUAAUGAUA